ensembl:misc_RNA Metazoa_SRP Metazoan signal recognition particle RNA
GCCAGGCGUAGUGGCUUACGCCUGUAAUCCCAGCACUUUGGGAGGCUGAGGCAGGAGGAUCACUUGAGCCUAGGAGUUCAAGACCAGCCUAUGCAACAUAGAGAGACCCUGUCUCUA